rnacentral:lncRNA from 1 species
AAAUUUAGCUUUACAAUGAGGUUAUUACAUCGAUUUUAGAAUGUACAAGGAAGAUUUUAAUAAAAAUCAUAUAUUAUCAAUGAAAAAAUGGUAGCUUAAUAAAUUUCAAUCAGACCAACUUGGUAAACUAGCUCUAAAUUGUGAUUGAAAUUUUGUAGAGAAUUUGUUAUUCUAUUUUUAGAAUCUUUUUACAGCCAAAAUAUUGUCUCUUUAUCAUCAUAGAUAAUUUGCUGUUAAGAUAAUUAUUUAAUUUUCUUGUAUGAGAUGCAAACAGGGAAUUUUUGGUUCAGAAUUUAAUAUUUAAUGCCAAAAUCCUGUAUGUUAAAGAAAGUUUGAUAGCUUAAACAUAUCAAAUUCAUUUUCUUUUCAAAGCCUUUGUUUUCAUUAUGCUUCCUUGAAAAUUAAAAUCUAGUUUAUAUUAUCUAUGGUCAGUCUAUAGAUUGACUUUACAAUUUUUAAUUGAGUUGUUAAGUGUAAUAUGUUCCCAAAGUGUGUCAUAAGGAUUCAUAUAAUUGCAUAAUGUUUCUUAAAAUACUGUGAUAAUUUGCUCUUAUCAAAAUAUGUAUCUUUUAACUAUAACAAUCAUGAUAUUGGAAAAAUUUGUUAUAUUUGCCUUAGUUUUAAUACAUAUAUCAUAUAAUGACUUCUGAUUUUUGAGGAUCCAUUUUUUUGGUCACUCAGUUUAUACUGUGGAUUUAUUAUUAUUUGUAGGAUAUCAAUUUUUUUUAUUUUUAUAGGCAAAGGUUAACCACAAAUUAACUGUUCAACAACUGACAAAUUGUGUAUAUGCCAGUAUGCAAACUUUUUCAAAACCACAAAAGUACAAUUUUCCCUCAAUCCAGGAAAGUUCAUAUCUACAAAAAUAAACAAAUCCAUAGUAUUUGCCACUGUUUAUUAAUAAUAUAAGUCUUAGUCUUGCCUCCCACAACUCUGUCUGGAACAAUGUUGACAAUUGCAAGGUGCUUUAUAUCUUAACUCGACUUUACAAUGGAAGGCAAUUUUUUUUUAGAUUGGCUGUUUAUAUUGAGACCUUGUCAGCAAGGAAGUAUCACUUGAAAUAAGCAUCAUUUUAACAUUUAAGUAGUCCAGUUUAGAAUACACCUUAUUGCUAAUCCCGGCUGACCCGGCCGCUUGAACUUUUGAUGCACACAACAAUCACUUUUCCAUUGUGGCGUCAGAUAUUUUGCUUUAUGACGUCAAAAUUUAACGGGAACCUGUGUGAUUUCCAGUAAUGGCGGACAAAUAGCGAUAAGGUGAAUAAGGUCCUGUUUCAUCCUAUCUUUAUAUUACAAAUCAACGACAUUUGUAUUUAAAUUCGUUGAAAGUAGUAUAUGUCAUGUUAUUUUUACCUUAUAUACACCCUUUAGUUGCAAUAUAAAGUAAUUAUGUUUUUACAAUAGUUUCAAUAUUGGUGAGAGGUGAAAAAUAUUUUGUAUUUUGAUUUGUUGUUUAGUAGUAGUGUAUAAUGGGAAAGAAAUGAUGUAUCAGGGGUUCUUGAAAUCUGAUAUAAUACAGUGUGAUGAGUUUUCACAUGAAUUACUCAUCAAUUUCCUGUUUAAUGAAUACUUGUAACGGUGGUAGCAUCAGUGAUCAAUAGCUCAAGGUACAUCUUGGUUGUUUCUGUUUAAUGUUGCCUAAGUAAUCUCUUGAUAUUAUGCGUAAGUUUCAUCAAACGAAUAUAAUCAUGUUUAUAUCGAUUACUUGAACCAGAUAGGCAUUACAACAAAUAUUGUCUCCUCAGUGAAGCUCUAGGCUGAAAUAUUUAAAAGUUCAUUGAACAGCAGGCGAAACUGUAAAUGUUUCUCUAACUAAAGUUUCUGGUUUGAGGUGCUCCUAAAUAUCUGUUGUACAUUAGUUAACAGGCUUUUUUUUUGCAUCGUUUUUUAUGAUUAGGUUUUUAUAUAUGUAAAAUGUAUAUAUUGUGUUUUAUGUUACAAAUUUACUACAAAAUGUAAAUUAUGAACUAUGAAAUAAGAUUUUGACGUAGAUGUUUGCGUAUUCUAAUGUAAUUUAUUUGUUAUUUGCAGAUUAGAUUAAUAUAUUAUUAUCAUUAUUAUUUAUUGAAGUAUUGUUCAUUUAUUUGUUAUGUUAUUAUAUCAACACUGCAUUGGUGUAUUUACUCAUUAUGCAAUAUUUGCAUGUCUAAUAGAUAAGGUCUGCCUAUGAACCAAAUGCGUUAUAUGAAUCCUCAAAAUGCACAUUUUACAUUACAGAACCAUAUCUAGUAAACAAGAUUCUAAAAUUUAAAUGAAAAUGGCUUAUAAGAAAGUUCUAAGGUUCAUUGAAUGGUGAUGGUUUCUUGCUAUCCUGUAAAUGUACAUCUUUGUUUUGCAUAUUUUGUGUUAUAUUUACCACUCAUUGUAAUUUAUCAUUAUUUUUUGUUUUGUUUCAAUUAAUACUUGAUUUACAUUAAUUCACUGCCUUAAGAGUCAGUAAUUGUAUCUUGUAUCCCUGUAAACAUUCUCAAAUGUCAUGAACUCUUAUGUCCAUUAAUAUUUUUUCCAAGUAAACUGAACAAAAUUCUUUUAUAUGAUCCUUUGAGAAUGUACCUUCAACAGUUAAUGAUACAUGACAUUUUCAUCAAAAUGUACACAUAGUCAUAUUUGUAAUUCUUUUACAUAGUCAUGUCAUUGUUUCAUAUAAAAACAUUCCUAUAUUUUGUU